rnacentral:lncRNA from 1 species
GAGGCCCUGAAGAGACUGAAUGGGAGAGUGUGACUGCUCCCUGCAAAUCCUCCCCAUGUCUGGACUGAGGAAAUAGCUCGAAGCACCAUCCGUCUCCUGGUGGAGCAGCAGCAGCGUCCAGAAACUGACCACCCCACGUUGCACUGCCUCCUAUUGGCACUCGGAGCUUCCUUCUAUGCUGCUUGCCUAUUUAGGAGUCUGCUGCCCCUAACAGAGUGGAAAUUC